rnacentral:lncRNA from 1 species
CAGAGCUGAACGUACUGCGGCCCCUUCGGGAGAGAGCCUGCUGCUAUCUGAAGUGAAACGCUCACCAGGUGAAGCCAGCUGGGUGCCCUGCACACCACGGUCAUUUCGGCACGGACACCUGGGAGCCGCAGAGUCUUUUACAGCCACGUCGUGCUGGCAGCGCGUGGCAGAGGCCGCCGGAGCAGCUCGGCUCUGCCGUGGUGCCCCAGCCUGGUGCAGCCGCGGACGGACCACGCGUAUCCCACGUCUGGGGCGGUACCCAGCAGGUUUGGGUACUUACCCAGGACAGCACCAGUGCAUUUCCAGGCUCGGUUUCCAGAGCCAUCAGCAUCCAUCCUGUUGGACAGACUGCCAGGAUUUCGGCGGGCAGCGCAUACCUGGCAUCUCGUGGUCUGUUACGGAUUUGGCUAUUUAUAUCGCUGCUUUCGCGGGAGCUGAACUCAGCAGUGACUCCUUAUGUCUGACCCCAGAGAGUUACUCAUCAAAGCACGUUAUACACUUACAAAUUAAACAAAUGCUAUUUUAAAGCCCAGUCUGGCAAACACUCAGCAGCCAGUUUGGUACUUAUCACUAGGAUUAUUCGAAGUGCCUUCAAGAUCACUUCCUG